rnacentral:rRNA from 1 species
GAUGAACGCUGGCGGCGUGCUUAACACAUGCAAGUCGAACGAUGAAGCCCAGCUUGCUGGGUGGUUUAGUGGCGAACGGGUGAGUAACACGUGAGUAACCUGCCCUUCACUCUGGGAUAAGCCUGGGCAACUGGGCCUAAUACCGGCUAGGAGAGUCCACCGCCUGGAGGGUGUUGGAAAGAUUUAUCGGUUUUGGAUGGACUCGAGGCCUAUCAGCUUCUUGGUGAGGUAAUGGCUCACUAAGGCGACGACGGGUAGCCGGCCUGAGAGGGUGACCGGCCACACUGGGACUGGGACACGGCCCAGACGCAUACGGGAGGAAGCAGUGGGGAAUAUUGCACAAUGGGCGCAAGCAUGAUGCAGGGACGCCGCGUGGUGGAUGACGGCCUUCGGGUUGUAAACCUCUUGCAGUAGGGAGAAGCGAAAGUGACGGUACCUGCAGAAGAAGCACCGGCUAACUACGUG